UAAUGCAUGCAAGUCGAACGAGAUCGCUUUCUUCGGAGAGCACAUAUCUAGUGGCAGACGGCUGAGUAACACGUAAGUAAUUUGCCCUGAAGAGGGGGAUAAUCCAGAGAAAUCUGGCCUAAUACCCCGUAAGUUUUUUUCCAGCACGCUGGAUUAAAAGAAAGGCUUCGGCCGCUUUAGGAGAAGCUUGCGGCUUAUCAGGUAGUUGGUGGGGUAAUGGCCUACCAAGCCGAAGACGAGUAACCGGUGUGAGAGCACGAUCGGUCAGAGGGGGACUGAGACACGGCCCCCACUCCUACGGGAGGCAGCAGCAGGGAAUCUUGCGCAAUGGGCGAAAGCCUGACGCAGCGACACCGCGUGAAGGAUGAAGGUCUUAGGAUUGUAAACUUCUUUUAUCAGGGAAGAGAAAGGACGGUACCUGAUGAAUAAGGUUCGGCUAACUACGUGCCAGCAGCCGCGGUAAUACGUAGGAACCGAGCGUUGUCCGAAUUUACUGGGCGUAAAGAGCGCGUAGGUGGUUUGUUAAGUCUCACGUGUAAUCUCCCGGCUCAACUGGGAGGGGUCGUGGGAUACUGGCAGGCUAGAGGUUAUCAGAGGAAAGCGGAAUUCCAGGAGUAGUGGUGAAAUGCGUAGAUACCUGGAGGAACACCAGAGGCGAAGGCGGCUUUCUGGGAUACACCUGACACUGAGGCGCGAAAGCGUGGGGAGCGAACCGGAUUAGAUACCCGGGUAGUCCACGCCCUAAACGAUGGAUACUAGAUAUUGGGGGUAUAGACCCCUCCAGUGUCGAAGCUAACGCGAUAAGUAUCCCGCCUGGGGAGU
rnacentral:rRNA from 1 species